rnacentral:rRNA from 1 species
AUACGAAGGGGGCUAGCGUUGCUCGGAAUUACUGGGCGUAAAGGGAGCGUAGGCGGACAUUUAAGUCAGGGGUGAAAUCCCGGGGCUCAACCUCGGAAUUGCCUUUGAUACUGGGUGUCUUGAGUGUGAGAGAGGUAUGUGGAACUCCGAGUGUAGAGGUGAAAUUCGUAGAUAUUCGGAAGAACACCAGUGGCGAAGGCGACAUACUGGCUCAUUACUGACGCUGAGGCUCGAAAGCGUGGGGAGCAAACAGGAUUAGAAACCCUUGUAGUCC